UGGGUGCGCACCGGGCGCACUGAGCUUCCCGUGCGCACCCUGGCCCGAUGCCGUCCCCGUACAAUCGAACGGCGAAGGCUCCCUACGGCGCGCGGCUCCGUUUCCAGCUGGAGAUGCAGCUCGGCUCACUUCCUUUUCCUAGUCCUCAGCUCGCUUCCUUUUCUUCACUCGUCUUCUUUCCGGAGCGCCGCAGAUCGAGAUCCAUGGCCGGAGCCGCCGCGGAUCCCCAUCACCAGAGCUGCAGUAGAUCCCCAUCACCGGAGCUGCAGCAGAUCCCCAUCGCCGGAGCCACCGCGUUGCCCGCUCCCGGCGGUGCCCCCGCUCCCGCGCGCCUGAGCCGCCCUCCUCGUUGCCCGUCACUGCUGCUUCCCGUCGGGCCGCCAUCCCCGUCGCCCACGGCCACUCCACCCGGCGGCGCCUCCGCCCGCCCGGCCCUGCGUCGCCCGCGGCCGCUUCCCUCCGCCUCCGCUGCCUCGCCCGCGGUCGGGCGCGGCUGCUGCUACCUCACCGUCCAGUCGCCCUCCCCAUUCGGCCUCUGUUUGCUACCUUGUUUGCUGAAUUGGCUAGGUCCAUUCCAUUGAUGUGGAUUCAAGUUUAGUAUCACAGGUUUUUGGCAUAGACAGCAGGUCCUCGUGGCCUGUGUCUUGGUGCUUGCUGCUCACAAUCUAAUGUAAAUUGUUCAACGUUAGGGCUGCAAAAUUGUGUCUUAGUUAUUGAGUUAAAUUUUGCAUUAUUGGAAUUUGAUGUAUGCAGUAGUUUUUGUGUCUAAAUUUUGUCAGAGCUAAGAAAGGUCCACAUAGUUUAACUUUUUGGUGAUGCACUAAUUCAGUAAUGCUCUAAAGAAUAAAUAUCAGCUAUAGUUUGUACUGUAUAUAAAGAGUACCCGAGGUCCCAAACAAGACAAUAUUUGUAACAUAAAGAUUUUUUAUUCCAGGUUAUAAAUCCACAAGUUCAGUUAUGAACUUAGUAUAAAGCAACUGUUUCUUCUCUUAUACUCAGUUGAUAAGCUGAGGAAUGUAGUUUGUGAUUGAGUGCGAACAUCCACAAUAAAGAGCUGAACUCUCUUGUGUUUAUUUGGCAGCAGUUACCUCUAGUUGGUAGGCAUGAGGCACCCAACGCAUCAUCGAAGAUGGUGGCGACACCAUGAAGUCGGUCCAUGGGCAAGGAAGAGAGAAGGAUGUAACUGCCCGACAUGACAUGAACUAGGGACGCAACAUUGAUGAAGCUUCUUGUGCCAGCCUAGAUGAUAUUGGUGAAGAUUUAUUUUUCUUGUGCCAGCAGCUGUGAAGAGUGCAGACGGUUGUGUUAACGGGAAUUGUAGGUUGUAGUUGUACUACUAGAGAAGAUUGCUGUGUAUGGAUGUAAUAGUGGUUCACAUGAAUAAUGUAAAAUGUGAUUUUUCUCUGAAUAAUUUGAUUGUUUGCCUGAAAUGCAUUAUGAA